rnacentral:sRNA from 1 species
CAUUUGAUGACAACCUCCUAGGAGAGAUGGGGAGGGAAGUGGGAGAUGGCCUUAUAGCAGCUUCUGGCAGACCUCCCAUCCUCUUGUGUUCCAGGAGGAUUAAAGAAGCCUUUCGGCCACACUUCGGUAAGGUGUGGCUCAAGCCAUUGUCUCCUUGGAUAUGUUCAAGGCUCUCAGGGAACACUGGUAUUGGUAUACUGAAAGUUUGUGUUGAGAACCAGGGUUUUCACUAUGGCAAAAGGAAGAUACAAGUAAGGAAUGGAGGCAUUUGAAUAGGGAGGUGACAGUACAAAUUACUGAUUUAAGGCCAGGCAUAGUGGCUGAUGCCUGUAAUCCCAGUUCUUUGGGAGGCCAAGGCAGGAGAAUUGCUUGAGCCCAGGAGUUCGAGACUAGCAUGGGUGACAUGGCAAAACCCUGUUUCUACAAAAAACACAAAAAUUAGCCAGGCAUAGUGGUGCAGGCCUGUAGUCCCACCUACUCAGGAAGCUAAGGCAGGAGGAUCUCUUGAGGCUGGGAGGCAGAUGUUGCAGCGAGCUGAGAUUGUGCCACUGCACUCCAGCCUAGGCAACAGAGCGAGCCCGUCUCAAAAAAAAAGAAAAAGAAAUUUGGGAUGGUAUGCAAGAUUUGGCCUGGAUUCUUCUGAGGAUGUGAAGUAAUGGAAGCAGUAAGACUGUUCCAGACUAGGGGAAGACUAGAGCCCUAAUAGCUGGAUUCCAUGUGAUCUUUUGUUGGACUUUGGGAUUGAGGGUGAGAGUAGAGAAGGCAUAAUGCACAUUUUUGAGACGAGGGAAAUGUGAAUAUAGCCUGUAUGCCUGCACUCAAGUCUGAAGAUAUAUAAACCAUGCCUAUACUAACCAGCCAAAUAUUUGAACACUAAAAAGAAUACUUUUCUUAAUGUGGUGAUGGUAUCAUGGUUGUAUAGAAUGUUCCUCUUCUUGGGAGAUGUGUGCUGAAAAUAGGGUUUGAUGUCUAAACCUGUUUUUGUUUUGGCAAAAAGGACAUGUGUCUGUACAAAAGAAAUGAAGCCAGUAUGGCAAAAUGUUUACAAGGACUCUGGGUGAGAGGUACAUAGGUGCUUACUAUACUGUUUUGUUUCUGAAUUUGAAAUGUCUCAAAAUUAAAAAAGUAUCUACUGAGGAGCUUUUCAUUUUAACUGGUGGGGAAUGGGUUCUGGGCGGUUUUGCCCCUUUUCUUUUUAGAUUCAAGAAAUCCAUGGUGAAAGGUUUGGAUUCCUAUGAAGAAAAGGAGGAUGAAGUGAUCAAGGAGAUGGCAGCUCAGAUCCGUGAAGUGGAGCAGAGCCGACAGGAGGUGGUUCGGUCUGUCUUAGAGGUUGGUUUCCCUCGGAGGAUCCAGACCACCUCAGACAGUGCCAGACCCAGAAGAGGGCUCUUCAGCACAUGGAAGCUGGAAAGGGAUAAACAGCCAAGUAGCUUCCAGCUCACAGCAGCCCG